UACGUAGGGUGCGAGCGUUGUCCGGAAUUAUUGGGCGUAAAGAGCUCGUAGGCGGCUUGUCGCGUCGGAUGUGAAAGCCCGGGGCUUAACUCCGGGUCUGCAUUCGAUACGGGCAGACUAGAGUUCGGUAGGGGAGAUCGGAAUUCCUGGUGUAGCGGUGAAAUGCGCAGAUAUCAGGAGGAACACCGGUGGCGAAGGCGGAUCUCUGGGCCGAUACUGACGCUGAGGAGCGAAAGCGUGGGGAGCGAACAGG
rnacentral:rRNA from 1 species